rnacentral:rRNA from 1 species
GAUGAACGCUGGCGGCGUGCCUAAUACAUGCAAGUCGAGCGAACAGACGAGGAGCUUGCUCCUUCGACGUUAGCGGCGGACGGGUGAGUAACACGUAGGUAACCUACCUAUAAGACUGGGAUAACUUCGGGAAACCGGAGCUAAUACCGGAUAAUAUUUCGAACCGCAUGGUUCGAUAGUGAAAGAUGGCUUUGCUAUCACUUAUAGAUGGAUCUGCGCCGCAUUAGCUAGUUGGUAAGGUAACGGCUUACCAAGGCAACGAUACGUAGCCGACCUGAGAGGGUGAUCGGCCACACUGGAACUGAGACACGGUCCAGACUCCUACGGGAGGCAGCAGUAGGGAAUCUUCCGCAAUGGGCGAAAGCCUGACGGAGCAACGCCGCGUGAGUGAUGAAGGUCUUCGGAUCGUAAAACUCUGUUAUUAGGGAAGAACAAACGUGUAAGUAACUGUGCACGUCUUGACGGUACCUAAUCAGAAAGCCACGGCUAACUACGUG